CUUUUAGUAACAGAUUUUAAAGUUUCUUUUAUCCCUUAAGUGAUCUGUUCUGUAUUUAUCUUUGAAAUAUUUUAUUGUUAAUGAAUAAGUAAUAUUUCAAAGUGACCUAUAUUUUUAUUUGACCAAGUGUUUUGAAACUAUAACAAGCUUCCCAAAUAUCAAAUUUUAAUCAGGCUUCUUUUGACCUCCAGCUAAAUCUGGGAUGCUUCAGAGGGCCCCUGAAACAUCCGAAAGAGAGAUUUUAAACUAUGCCUUUGGUGAGAGAUAAGAGGAUGUUUCUGGGCAGGUCCUCCUCUGCCCCUGGCAGGGAUUCAGCAAGAACCCUGCCAGAUUCACCAUGACUGUGGAUGGAACUGCUCUCCAGCAGAGAAAGUAACAAUUAUUCAUGAUUAAAAUUACUUGUCAAAAUA